rnacentral:rRNA from 1 species
GAUGAACGCUGGCGGCGUGCCUAAUACAUGCAAGUCGAGCGAACGGACGAGAAGCUUGCUUCUCUGAUGUUAGCGGCGGACGGGUGAGUAACACGUGGAUAACCUACCUAUAAGACUGGGAUAACUUCGGGAAACCGGAUCUAAUACCGGAUAAUAGUUUGAACCGCAUGGUUCAAAAGUGAAAGACCGUCUUGCUGUCACUUAUAGAUGGAUCCGCGCUGCAUUAGCUAGUUGGUAAGGUAACGGCUUACCAAGGCAACGAUGCAUAGCCGACCUGAGAGGGUGAUCGGCCACACUGGAACUGAGACACGGUCCAGACUCCUACGGGAGGCAGCAGUAGGGAAUCUUCCGCAAUGGGCGAAAGCCUGACGGAGCCACGCCGCGUGAGUGAUGAAGGUCUUCGGAUCGUAAAACUCUGUUAUUAGGGAAGAACAUAUGUGUAAGUAACUGUGCACAUCUUGACGGUACCUAAUCAGAAAGCCACGGCUAACUACGUG